rnacentral:rRNA from 1 species
UACGUAGGUGGCAAGCGUUACUCGGAAUCACUAGGCGUAAAGCGCAGGUAGGAGGUUUGGUAAGUCUCUUGUGAAAGCUCCCGGCUUAACUGGGAGAGGUCAAGGGAAACUGCCAGGCUGGAGUGCGGUAGAGGUAGCUGGAAUUCCCGGUGUAGCGGUGAAAUGCGUAGAUAUCAGGAGGAAUACCUAUGGCGAAAGCAGGCUGCUGGACCGUCACUGACUCUGAUCUGCGAAAGCUAGGGGAGCAAACAGG